rnacentral:rRNA from 1 species
AGAGUUUGAUCAUGGCUCAGAAUCAACGCUGGCGGCGUGCCUAACACAUGCAAGUCGAACGCGAAAGCCCCUUCGGGGGUAAGUAGAGUGGCGUCCGGGUGAGUAACACGUGGGUAAUCUACCUUCGGGUGGGGAAUAACAACUCGAAAGAGUUGCUAAUACCGCAUAAUGCAGCGGCACCUUAUGGUGAAUAGUUGUUAAAGCGGGGGAUCGCAAGACCUCGCGCCUGAAGAGGAGCCUGCGGCAGAUUAGCUUGUUGGUGAGGUAAUGGCUCACCAAGGCUUCGAUCUGUAGCUGGUCUGAGAGGACGGCCAGCCACACUGGCACUGACACACGGGCCAGACUCCUACGGGAGGCAGCAGUGGGGAAUUUUGGGCAAUGGGCGAAAGCCUGACCCAGCAACGCCGCGUGAGGGAGGAAAUCCUUCGGGAUGUAAACCUCGCAAGCAAGGGAAGAAUGCCCAGGAUUUAAUACAUCCUGGGAGAGACGGUACCUUGCGUAAGCCACGGCUAACUACGUGCUAGCAGCCGCGGUAAUAC